rnacentral:lncRNA from 1 species
GUGGUUUCUCUCUCUAUAUAUAGAGAGUUAGUUUCUUUGUAAGUUUAAACCUAUUAUAUCAAUAUUAUCAUUCAUCUUUUAUAUUUCUAGUUGGUAUCAGAGCCAAGUUAGGUCAUGGUUUUCGGCCACCGGCGACAUUAACUCAGGUGUCGGUGGCCGGAGCUCCGGCAAAGUCUUUUUGUCCAAUUUGUCUUCUUGUUGCCACUGGUUUUCUGCGCCUUGUGUGCUGCUGUUUUUUUCCUGAGUACUGUUCAUGAGUACUAUUCAGUAUUCACUGUCACUGUUCAUCAACUAACGUUCAUCGGGAUUACUGUUCAUCCGGAGUACUGUUCACAGAUCACUGUUCAUGGGUACUGUUCAUCCACAAUUUUUAUUCAGGGUUGAUCUUCCUGUUGUUGGUAUGUGCCACUCUUUGUCCAACCCUUUCUAGGAUUUUGUUUGCGUUGUUGAUGUCAUACGCAGCUUGCCAAGCCCUUUCUAUGGCUUUAAAUGCGUUGCUGCCAUAGUGCGCCGCUCUUGUCCAGUCUUUUCGAGGGUCUUGUUUGCGUUCUUGAUUUCAUGUGCCAUUAUUGUCUGGCCCUCUCAAAGCAUUCUCAAUGCAAGGUGGAUUUUGGGGGUGGGGUGGAUAAAUCCACCUUGAAACUCAAAAUAAUGUCCCAAGGGAAGGUGGAUUUUCAAAAGUAGGAUCCCACAUGUGGAUUUUAAGGUGGAAGAAUCCACCUUGAAAUCCACCUGUGGGUAGUAGAACCGUGACAUGCCGUCCUAAUCUAUCUAUACUCUCUAUUAAAGUUGGACUUGCCCUUAAGAAAAAUUUCUCUUUCCUAAUUAGAUCAAAUUUGAUGCUUCAAUUGAAGAGAAUUUAACAAAGAUUAAAAUUUAAAGGGUUAUUAUUGUAAAUUUAUAUCUAAUAUGGCUUAAAUAGCUAAAUGGCUACAUUUAAUAGCACUAUGGGCAUGUCUGUUUUUUUCCACAAAUAUAUUAAUGGCUAACCAAUGAAUUUAAUUACAAUAUGGCUAUAUUUAUCUUAUUAGCCAAAAAUAAAAAUUAAAUAAAUAAAUAAAAUAUAAUUUUGUACUUUACCUUCUUCUUUCCUCAAUAUUUACCCAUAUUCCUCAUACAUCAAAUUCAAUCUAUCCUCUAUCCCUUCUCCAAAUAAUGGUUGGAAAAAAACACACACACACAACGUUCAUUACAAUAGACUAUGUGAAUAUAUGCACGCAAUAGUACAAAUUACAAUACUGUGCGUUUUCCAUUUUUCUUUUAGUACAGGUUCGAAAUAAAAUUAUAUAGGUUUUAUAACCGUAUAACAUGAUUACGUUGCGUAAUUAUAACGUGAUUUUUGAGAUUAGUUUAAUCUUAUUUAUCAAAAAAUUAUUUGAAAAGAUGGCCUUCGGCUAGGGCUGGAAACGGGUCGGAUUCAGAUUGGAUGUAAAUAAAUCUAAAGCUUGAUCCGAAUUCGAUUAGGGUUUAAACAAUUAAUCUAAAUCCGAGAUUUUCGAAACCCAGACUAAAUCUAAAAAAUUUCAAUAUAAAAUCUUUAAAAACACAGAUUAAAAUCUGAAUCUGGAUCUGAAUAGGUCUCUUAUUAUAAAUACGAAUUUUAAUUCGGUGUAUUCUUAUAUCUGAAUCCGACAUAUUCAAAUUCGGUUAAUUCGGAUAAAUCCACAUCCACUUCCCGCCCUAUCUUCGGUGAAAGGUUACCUCAGGAUAUAAAUUCAAUAGUGUUUUUUGAAAUGAUGCAUAGUCUAGACAUACCAAAGCUCAACCCAAUAACUUGACAAUUAAGUGAUUUUUUUUUUCAAAACAAAUUUUAUUGAUAUUUUUUUAUUUAUUUUUGUUAAAUAAAAACUAUUUUAUUGAUAAGUUCAAAGAAUUACACAAAAUUUGAGGACAAACGCGCUACAAACUGAAGUCCUUUAUUUGGGGAUUGCAAAAUAUUAGGGAUACACCUAAAUAUAAAUUUUGAGGGUUUUUCCUGAUUUUUGUCGUGAUAGUAGGUACUGGGAAAAUCAGAAGUUAUAAUUUAUAUAUAGGUCGCACCAUUUUUUUUACCAAAACUAAAUAUCGAAGUCCAACAAUUUUUUUUAUUAGCCAGCAGGUGGGCUUUCAUUGUAUCUUACUACAUGUCUCUUUAUACCAAGUAAAGAUUUGUGUAGAUGAAAUACUUAAUAUAGCAAAUCUAUAGAUAAAUUGUGAAUGAGCAUGUGGCUCAGUGGUAGCACCCCUCUCACAAAGUGGAGAGGUCGUGGGUUCGAAACACGUCAACAUCGGAUUGUUGAUAUAAGUUUCCACACGUAAUUUAAAAAAGGGGUAGGGGUCCCCUCAACCUCGUUGGACAACCAAAAAAAAAAAAAUAGAUAAAUUUGUCGAUAAACAUAUGGCUCAAAAGUAGAAUCCCUCUCACAAAGUGGAGAUGUUAUAGGUUCAAAACACGUCAGUAACUGAUUGUUUGAUUAAAAGUUUCCCCAUGUAAAUUUAAAAGGGGUAGGGUUCUCUUCAACCUCUCUUACCAAUAAUAAUAAUAAGAAGAAAAAAAUGUACGUUACCUACUAUAAUAAACUUCAAUAAGCACAUAUAUUUUGUAAUUCAAAAUUUUAUUCUACGAUUCAAUUUGAUCUUUCAGUAGUUUUGUUGGGUGCACUAUUAUGAAAGGUUGUUUUACUACUGCAAGUUAUUAUAUACAAUGUUCUUGCUAAACCCCCUUUUAUAUCCAAACCAUAAGCUUAGACUCCAAACAAAAGAUGAAUAAAAUCAUAUGAUCAGUCUAAUUCAUGGUUUUGAACAUUCAUAAGAUUAAUCAUACCAUGGUUUAUUGUCACAAUCAAGUAAAAACAUAAUGAAAAAUUCAAUAAUUGAUAUACAUUAUAUUUAACUUAAAAUCUCAGUCAAACAUUCAAACAACGAGUAUUUGACGAGAAACCAUUUCAAAAAUUGUAAUCAACCGUAUUUACGAAAAUAAAAAUAAAAAUUACUGUUGUAAUAAAACUGUAAAAAUGACAAUUAAACCAAUGACAUACAUUAACAAAACCUUUCCAAGAAACUAAACCUAAUUUACACUAUUUAAUAACAUCUGUGCAUCGCACGAGCCUUGUAACUAGUUUAAAUUACAAUCGGACGGCAUGUCACAUGCCGUCCGUUUUUUUUUUUUAAAGUUUUACGUAGUGUUUUAAAACUUUUGGUCUCUCGGACGGCAUGUCACAUGUCAUCUCCCUAUUUUUUGCAAAAAAAUUGGGACGACAUGUGACAUGUCGUCCAGAUUUUUUAAAAAAUCCGCUUCUUAUUAACAUAGAGUCCACCUUCCCUUGGGAACUCUCCACCUUGUAGAGUUUCACCUUGAGUCAACAAGGUGGAUUUAUCCUAGUGGUGCAUACGUGGCGUCUAUGUGGAGGUGGAUAAAUCCACCCUGCAUUGGGAAUGCUCUCACUACUUCUCUAGGGCUUUUUCUGCACUGCCACCACUGAAUCUUCUGCGUUACCAUCCGUGUUCAGCCCUUUCAACGGCUUUGUUUCUCCAAAAUCAACCUUCUUUCGUCCUGGAGUAUCUCAUCUUUAUUGAUUUUUGAAGUUAUAUCAGAUGCUUUGUGGAAAGUAAACCCUAGCCACCGAAAAGAACAUGACCCUAGUCACCACCACUACCUCCGGCGUCUUUCUUGGUUGAGCAGCUGGUAAUCUCUGCUUCUUUAUUGUCUCUGCAGCUGAACAUCCUUCCUGGUGUUAUUCUCAAGAUACUUUAUGGGGGAUGUGAGAGAUCUUCUUUGUAUUUCAAGCUAAAAUUCAGAGUCUGGAUGUUUAGCUUGAGGGGGAGUGUUGGUAUCACAGCCAAGUUAGGUCAUGGUUUUCGGCCACUGACGACACUAACUCAGGUGCCGGUGGCCGGAGCUCCGGCAAAGUCUUUUUGUCAAAUUUGUGUCUUUGUUUCCG